rnacentral:rRNA from 1 species
UACUAGAGUAGCACUCGCAUAUCAAUAAGCGGAGGAAAAGAAACUAACUAGGAUUCCCUCAGUAACGGCGAGUGAAGCGGGAAGAGCUCAAAUUUGAAAUCUUCAAGGUUCUACCUUGACGAAUUGUAGUUUAAAGAAGUGUUUUCUGUUGGAGUUUUGGUAAAAGUUCUUUGGAAUAGGACAUCAUAGAGGGUGAGAAUCCCGUAUUUGACCAUUAUUUCCAACUUUGUGAUACACUUUCAAAGAGUCGGAUUGUUUGGGAAUGCAGUCCAAAAUGGGUGGUAAAUUUCAUCUAAAGCUAAAUACUGGCGAGAGACCGAUAGCGAACAAGUACCGUGAGGGAAAGAUGAAAAGAACUUUGAAAAGAGAGUUAAACAGUACGUGAAAUUGUCAAAAGGGAAGCGUUUGACACCAGUGUUGUUUUCUCGAAAAUCAAUUAAAAAUGGUGGGAUUUUGUGUUGUAUUGACUUUAUCAGCUUUCUGCACUUUUUUCCUAUCUUUCUUAAUGCACUUUUCGUUAACAAGUCAACAUCAAUUUCUUUUGUUGUAAAAGGGUCAUGAGGAAGGUGGCUUUCUUUUCGGAGAAAGUGUUUAUAGCCUUGUGCCUCUGCAGUCGGAGAGAUUGAGGUCUGCAGCGUAGAUCCUUCGGGGUUAGAUACAUUUGUGCUAAGUUAUAGCUUUUCAUAGACAACUUGUUGACUAUGAUUAAGUCAUUGUAGAUUACUCGCAUAUGCUAUUUUACCUACGCUUAGGAUGUUGAUAGUCACAGCGUGUAC